UAGGGAAUUAUGAUUGGAGACUGAAAUUGAAUUUAAAAUGGGUUGAAAACAUGUGCGCCAAUUGAAAUGAAACUCAGGUCAAAGCUUCAUCUGAACCACCGUGGACCAUCGCGCCGGAAAUCGCUUAUGGCGGCGGUGGCCACCAAAAGUGGCAAAUCUAACCACCAUCCUCACAGUCUUAACCUCCUUUCCAUGAAUAUCACACUAUCUUUUCCAGAUUCUUUCCCUAACACCAAAACUGAAUCAAAAACUCCAAGAACCCUAAAAAUCCAAUCCUAAAUUAAAUCCUACACAUAAGGAUUCAAAGCCCUCGAGGUUAGGGCUUUGAACCUCCUCUCCGUCCUCUACAUCUCAGUAACUAGAAUUGAAGAAAUGGAAGACUUUGGAACUCACCGUGGCCGGAGAAGGAUGAAGAAGAUGAUGAACACCGGUGAACUCCUAUUUCCAGGAAGGUUCAUUGGCUUGUGGUUGAUGGGGUUCAGACUGUGAUAGGUCUUGGCUUGGUGUGUUAUUGAAUUGCUUGCAGGAUUCACUUGGACUGCCUUAUGGUUAUUGCUGCUUAUGUUUUUGUUGCAGAAUGACUUGGUUAAGUUAUUUUUGAUAGCAGGACUGUAUUGUAUGCUUUGAGGUUUGGUCUGACCUUGGGUUUAUGUUGCAGCUUGUAGUCUGCAUUGUUUACUCAUGGUGAUAGCAGGUCUGCAAGCUCAUUGCCUUGAUGUUGACUGCAGUAUGAUUGUAGAUUGUUCAUUGGCUUUGAGUUUCUUCAUAUUUCAUAGCCGGUUUUGGUUUGACUUAUGUAGCAGGAAUUAAAAUGGACUGCAUUGUGGUUUGUGGCUUGCAUGUGACCUGGUACAUGUUGCAGCUUGUAAUCUUGUGAAGUGGUUCUGACUUGUUACAGGUAGCAUCACCUCUAAGUUCAUGACAUGUUUUCCUCCAUUGGCUCUGAUGUGCAGUAGGGUGGUUUGCAACAUAUGGCCUCAUGGUCCUUUGGCUUGCCUUGCACUUCAUUAUGACCUGGUUUCGCUUCUUGUUGCAUAAUUCUUUUGGCUUAGUCAUGUAUAUGCUAAGUUGCUUAUGGUUCAUGGCAUGAUGGUUGAACAAUCAAGAUUACAGAUAGAGAUGUCAAAAAAGCCCUAAUGAGAAAGCCCAAUAAUUAGGCUCUUUACUUA